rnacentral:rRNA from 1 species
CUUGUUCCACCGGGGGUUUAAGGGUUAAGGGGUUAUUAGGGUUCGAUUCCGGUUUAUUGAGCCUGAUAACGGCUAGGGACAGAGGAUUAACAGGGGCGGGCAAAUUACGCAAUCCCCCUAAGGGAGGUAGUGAGAAGGAAUAACAAUACAGAACCUUACGGUUUUGUAAUUGGAAUGAGUUAAGUAUAAACCCCUUAACAAGUAUCAAUUGGAGGGCAAGUCUGGUGCCAGCAGCCGCGGUAAUUCCAGCUCCAAUAGCGUAUAUUAAAGUUGUUGCAGUUAAAAAGCUCGUAGUUAAUCUUCUGUUAAUUUUUAUAUAUGAUAUCUCGAUAUUUAUAUAAUAUUAACAUAAUUCAUAUUACUUUUUAGUAUAUGAAACUUUACUUUGAGAAAAUUAGAGUGCUUAAAGCAGGCUAUUGCCUUGAAUACUCCAGCAUGGAAUAAUAUUAAGGAUUUUUUAUUCUUCUUAUUGGUUCUAGAAUAAAAAUGAUGAUAAUAGGAACAGUUGGGGGGCAUUUGUAUUUAACAAGUCAGAGGUGAAAAUUCUUAGAA